rnacentral:rRNA from 1 species
UACGUAGGGUGCAAGCGUUGUCCGGAAUUAUUGGGCGUAAAGAGCUCGUAGGUGGUCUAUCACGUCGGAUGUGAAACCCUGAGGCUCAACCUCAGGCCUGCAUUCGAUACGGGCAGACUAGAGUGUGGUAGGGGAGACUGGAAUUCCUGGUGUAGCGGUGAAAUGCGCAGAUAUCAGGAGGAACACCGGUGGCGAAGGCGGGUCUCUGGGCCAUUACUGACACUGAGGAGCGAAAGCGUGGGGAGCAAACAGG